GGCCUAGUGGCCUAAUGGUUAGGGCGUUGCUUUCCGGUGGCAAAGGCUCCAGGUUCGAAUCCUGGCUGGGUCG
rnacentral:tRNA from 1 species